rnacentral:tRNA from 1 species
GGGGCUGUAGCUCAGUGGUAGAGUGCUUGCCUUGCAGGUAUGAGGACCUGAGUUUGAUCCUCAGCACCA